rnacentral:rRNA from 1 species
UGGCGGACGGGUGAGUAACGCGUGGGUAACCUGCCCUAUACAGGGGGAUAACAGUUAGAAAUGACUGCUAAUACCGCAUAAGCGCACUAAAACUGCAUGGUUCGGUGUGAAAAACUGAGGUGGUAUAGGAUGGACCCGCGUCUGAUUAGCUGGUUGGUGAGGUAACGGCUCACCAAGGCGACGAUCAGUAGCCGGCCUGAGAGGGCGACCGGCCACAUUGGGACUGAGACACGGCCCAAACUCCUACGGAAGGCAGCAG